rnacentral:rRNA from 1 species
UACGGAGGGGGCUAGCGUUGUUCGGAAUUACUGGGCGUAAAGCGCACGUAGGCGGUCGCUUAAGUCAGGGGUGAAAUCCCGGGGCUCAACCCCGGAACUGCCUUUGAUACUGGGUGUCUGGAGGUCGAGAGAGGUGAGUGGAAUUCCGAGUGUAGAGGUGAAAUUCGUAGAUAUUCGGAGGAACACCAGUGGCGAAGGCGGCUCACUGGCUCGAUACUGACGCUGAGACGCGAAAGCGUGGGGAGCGAACAGG